ACGGGAGGCAGCAGUGGGGGAUAUCGCACAAUGGGGGAAACCCUGAUGCAGCGACGCCGCGUGAGUGAAGAAGUAUUUCGGUAUGUAAAGCUCUAUCAGCAGGGAAGAAAGACUCGUAAGAGAGAUGACGGUACCUGACUAAGAAGCCCCGGCUAACUACGUGCCAGCAGCCGCGGUAAUACGUAGGGGGCAAGCGUUAUCCGGAAUUAUUGGGCGUAAAGAGUGCGUAGGUGGUUUCCUAAGCAUGGGGUUUAAGGCAAUGGCUUAACCAUUGUUCGCCCCAUGAACUGGGUGACUUGAGUUCUGGAGAGGAAAGCGGAAUUCCUAGUGUAGCGGUGAAAUGCGUAGAUAUUAGGAGGAACACCAGUGGCGAAGGCGGCUUUCUGGACAGAUACUGACACUGAGGCACGAAAGUGUGGGGAGCAAACAGGAUUAGAUACCCUGGUA
rnacentral:rRNA from 1 species